rnacentral:rRNA from 1 species
GACGAACGCUGGCGGCGUGCCUAAUACAUGCAAGUAGAACGCUGAAGGAGGAGCUUGCUUCUCUGGAUGAGUUGCGAAUGGGUGAGUAACGCGUAGGUAACCUGCCUGGUAGCGGGGGAUAACUAUUGGAAACGAUAGCUAAUACCGCAUAAGAGUAGAUGUUGCAUGACAUUUGCUUAAAAGGUGCAAUUGCAUCACUACCAGAUGGACCUGCGUUGUAUUAGCUAGUUGGUGGGGUAACGGCUCACCAAGGCGACGAUACAUAGCCGACCUGAGAGGGUGAUCGGCCACACUGGGACUGAGACACGGCCCAGACUCCUACGGGAGGCAGCAGUAGGGAAUCUUCGGCAAUGGACGGAAGUCUGACCGAGCAACGCCGCGUGAGUGAAGAAGGGUUUCGGAUCGUAAAGCUCUGUUGUAAGAGAAGAACGAGUGUGAGAGUGGAAAGUUCACACUGUGACGGUAGCUUACCAGAAAGGGACGGCUAACUACGUG